GUGACUCGAAGAAGCCUUCCAAAAAGCGUGUGAAAAGGAAGCCCUACUCUACCACCAAGGUGACUUCAGGGAGCACAUUCAAUGAGAAUAUAAGAAGAUAUGCUGUGCACACCAACCAGUGUAGGAGACCUCAUGGCUCCCGGGUAAAGAAGAAGAGGUACCCACAAGAAGAUGACUUCCAUCAUACAGUCUUCAGCAACCUUGAAAGAUUGGACAAGCUUCAGCCCACUCUUGAAGCCUCUGAGGAGUCUCUAGUUCACAAGGACAGAGGAGAUGGAGAGAGGCCAGUCAACGUGAGGGUGGUGCAGGUGGCCCCUCUGAGGCAUGAAUCUAGUAAGUAUUCUGGAAUCACUUACCAAGAAAACAAUCUGGAUGCCAAGAAAGGUGUGGCAUCCUUGCCUGGUUUCAAUGUGAAGAGCCACCCUGAUCCUGGGAUUGUGAUAGGAAUAAGUAUAGGGGAAGUGUUUUUUUAAAACCUGAAUUCCCCAGGGAAAAAUUAUGGCCAAAUUUUGAGGAAGCAGCUGUGCUCCCUUUUGGGUGGUGCUGAGUUGGGUGCUUGAGGAUUGGUGGUGUCUUGUGUGAGGCUGCAUCGUGUGGUGUGAAUGUGUGUGUUUCUGUACAGGUGAGGCUGUGUGUUUUCUCAGGAGAGAUUUCCCACUUAUACAACCCAAUCACCAGUGUCCACUUCUAACAAUAAAAUCCACCCCCGCUCUA
ensembl:lncRNA FAM230A family with sequence similarity 230 member A